rnacentral:rRNA from 1 species
UUGGAGGGCAAGUCUGGUGCCAGCAGCCGCGGUAAUUCCAGCUCCAAUAGCGUAUAUUAAAGUUGUUGCAGUUAAAAAGCUCGUAGUUGAAUUUCGGGGUCAGUAGGUUGGUCGUGCCACUGGUACGUACUGGUCUCACUGAUUCCUCCUUCCUGAUGAACCGUAAUGCCAUUAAUUUGGUGUUGCGGGGAAACUGGACUGUUACUUUGAAAAAAUUAGAGUGUUUAAAGCAGGCUAACGCUUGAAUACAUUAGCAUGGAAUAAUGAAAUAGGACGUUCGAUCCUAUUUUGUUGGUUUCUAGGAUUGACGUAAUGAUUAAUAGGGAUAGUUGGGGGCAUUAGUAUUCAAUUGUCAGAGGUGAAAUUCUUGGAUUUAUUGAAGACUAACUACUGCGAAAGCAUUUGCCAAGGAUGUUUUCAUUAAUCAAGAACGAAAGUUAGGGGAUCGAAGACGAUCAGAUACCGUCGUAGUCUUAACCAUAAACUAUGCCGACUAGGGAUCGGAUGAUGUUAAUUUUUUAAUGACUCAUUUGGCACCUUACGGGAAAC